UGGGGACUAUUGCACAAUGGGCGCAAGCCUGAUGCAGCCAUGCCGCGUGUGUGAAGAAGGCCUUCGGGUUGUAAAGCACUUUCAGCGAGGCGGAAGGGUAGUGUGUUAAUAGCACAUUGCAUUGACGUUACUCGCAGAAGAAGCACCGGCUAACUCCGUGCCAGCAGCCGCGGUAAUACGGAGGGUGCAAGCGUUAAUCGGAAUUACUGGGCGUAAAGCGCACGCAGGCGGUUUGUUAAGUCAGAUGUGAAAUCCCCGCGCUUAACGUGGGAACUGCAUUUGAAACUGGCAAGCUAGAGUCUUGUAGAGGGGGGUAGAAUUCCAGGUGUAGCGGUGAAAUGCGUAGAGAUCUGGAGGAAUACCGGUGGCGAAGGCGGCCCCCUGGACAAAGACUGACGCUCAGGUGCGAAAGCGUGGGGAGCAAACA
rnacentral:rRNA from 1 species